rnacentral:rRNA from 1 species
GAUGAACGCUAGCGGUGUGCCUCAUACAUGCAAGUCGAACGAGAAGCAGGAGCUUGCUCCUGUGGAAAGUGGCGGACGGGUGAGUACAACAUAGGAAAUCUGCCUUAGGGUGGGGGACAACAGAGGGAAACUUCUGCUAAUACCCCAUAUGAGCUUGGUUGAAAUACCAAUCUUGAAAGUUCCGGCGCCCUAAGAUGAGCCUGUGCCUGAUUAGCUAGUUGGUGGUGUAAUGGACUACCAAGGCGACGAUCAGUAGCUGGUUUGAGAGGAUGAUCAGCCACAAUGGGACUGAGACACGGCCCAU